rnacentral:rRNA from 1 species
AGAGUUUGAUCCUGGCUCAGAUUGAACGCUGGCGGCAUGCUUUACACAUGCAAGUCGAACGGCAGCACGGGUGCUUGCACCUGGUGGCGAGUGGCGAACGGGUGAGUAAUGCACCGGAACGUACCCAGUAGUGGGGGAUAACACAUCGAAAGAUGUGCUAAUACCGCAUACGCCCUGAGGGGGAAAGCGGGGGAUCGUAAGACCUCGCGUUAUUGGAGCGGCCGAUGCCGGAUUAGCUAGUUGGUGAGGUAAGAGCUCACCAAGGCGACGAUCCGUAGCUGGUCUGAGAGGACGACCAGCCACACUGAGACUGAGACACGGCCCAGACUCUUACGGGAGGCAGCAGUGGGGAAUUUUGGACAAUGGGCGCAAGC